GACGGGGGAUGCAAGCGUUAUCCGGAAUCACUGGGCGUAAAGCGUCUGUCGGUGGUGAUGCAAGUCACUGGUGCAAAACUCUGGCUCAACCGUAGGAAAGCCAGUGAAACUGCAUGACUAGAGUGUGGGAGAGGUAGAAGGAAUUCCCUGAGUAGCGGUGAAAUGCGUAGAUACAUGGAAGAACACCGGAGGCGAAAGCGUUCUACUGGAACACAACUGACACUGAGAGACGAAAGCUAGGGGAGCGAAUGGG
rnacentral:rRNA from 1 species